AAGGCGCUAGCGUGUAUAAAGGCAACGGGAGCCUCCCUACUAUUUCUCUCUCUUCCUGCUCUCCUCGAGAUGAAGACACGACAGACUUCUAACCAUGACUGGAACAGUAAUGGCCGCACAAAGUUUCGACCCUGGCCGUCUGAAUACAUUUCAGGUACUGCUGAGAGUGAGAAGACUAGCCACAGCAACUACCUCACUUGCUGGUGACCAUGGCUGACCUCUAUAGUGACUGGAUAAAGACUGCUCAUGUCUUGGCAUCACUCGGACUCAUGGCCUCAGGUCUCGCAUCGCUGGGCUGUGUGGGCUCCCAACCCUUCCUGCUUAUCAAGAGACAGUGACAUCUGGGGAACUGCUGCAGGCCGUCCCAAAGGACAACAACUUAGGCAUCAUGUUUAACUGCCAUGACGUUCAUGCACAAUAAUUGAACUGUGUGAAAUUGUUUGUUGGCAAUAAAAAAAACUGCAAACUAA